GACGUAGGAGGCGAGCGUUGUCCGGAUUCAUUGGGCGUAAAGAGCACGCAGGCGGUUUGGCAAGUCGGAUGUGAAAACCCGGAGCUCAACUCCGGACCUGCAUCCGAAACUGCCCGACUAGAGGUAGGUAGGGGAGAUCGGAAUUCCUGGUGUAGCGGUGAAAUGCGCAGAUAUCAGGAGGAACACCGGUGGCGAAGGCGGAUCUCUGGGCAUUACCUGACGCUCAGGUGCGAAAGCUAGGGGAGCGAACAGG
rnacentral:rRNA from 1 species